AGACCACUGAGGAGUCCCAUACUAGGACGAAACGGCCGUCCAGUGC
rfam:Schistosoma mattheei strain Denwood, Zambia genome assembly, scaffold: SMTD_scaffold0001072